UACAGAGGUCCCAAGCGUUGUUCGGAUUCACUGGGCGUAAAGGGUGCGUAGGCGGCUGGGUAAGUCUGACGUGAAAUCUUCAAGCUCAACUUGGAAACUGCGUCGGAUACUAUUCGGCUAGAGGAAUGGAGGGGAGACUGGAAUACUUGGUGUAGCAGUGAAAUGCGUAGAUAUCAAGUGGAACACCAGUGGCGAAGGCGAGUCUCUGGACAUUUCCUGACGCUGAGGCACGAAAGCCAGGGGAGCAAACGGG
rnacentral:rRNA from 1 species